rnacentral:rRNA from 1 species
UGAGCCAUGAUCAAACUCUAUUGGAAACGACUGCUAAUACCGCAUAAUGUCUACGGACCAAAGUGGGGGACCUUCGGGCCUCACGCCAAAAGAUUAGCCCAAGUGGGAUUAGCUAGUUGGUAAGGUAAUGGCUUACCAAGGCAACGAUCCCUAGCUGGUUUGAGAGGAUGAUCAGCCACACUGGGACUGAGACACGGCCCAGACUCCUACGGGAGGCAGCAGUGGGGAAUAUUGCACAAUGGGCGCAAGCCUGAUGCAGCCAUGCCGCGUGUGUGAAGAAGGCCUUCGGGUUGUAAAGCACUUUCAGUAAGGAGGAAAGGGUAGUCUUUAAUAGAGGCUAUCUGUGACGUUACUUACAGAAGAAGCACCGGCUAACUCCGUGCCAGCAGCCGCGGUAAUA